rnacentral:rRNA from 1 species
UACGUAGGGUGCGAGCGUUAAUCGGAAUUACUGGGCGUAAAGCGUGCGCAGGCGGUUUUGUAAGCCAGAUGUGAAAGCCCCGGGCUUAACCUGGGAAUGGCAUUUGGGACUGCAAGGCUUGAGUGCGGCAGAGGAGACUGGAAUUCCCGGUGUAGCAGUGAAAUGCGUAGAUAUCGGGAGGAAUACCGAUGGCGAAGGCAGGUCUCUGGGCUGACACUGACGCUCAUGCACGAAAGCGUGGGGAGCAAAAGGG